rnacentral:rRNA from 1 species
UUGAACGCUGGCGGCAGGCCUAACACAUGCAAGUCGAGCGGAUGAAGGGAGCUUGCUCCUGGAUUCAGCGGCGGACGGGUGAGUAAUGCCUAGGAAUCUGCCUGGUAGUGGGGGAUAGCGUCCGGAAACGGGCGCUAAUACCGCAUACGUCCUGAGGGAGAAAGUGGGGGAUCUUCGGACCUCACGCUAUCAGAUGAGCCUAGGUCGGAUUAGCCAGUUGGUGGGGUAAAGGCCUACCAAGGCGACGAUCCGUAACUGGUCUGAGAGGAUGAUCAGUCACACUGGAACUGAGACACGGUCCAGACUCCUACGGGAGGCAGCAGUGGGGAAUAUUGGACAAUGGGCGAAAGCCUGAUCCAGCCAUGCCGCGUGUGUGAAGAAGGUCUUCGGAUUGUAAAGCACUUUAAGUUGGGAGGAAGGGCAGUAAGUUAAUACCUUGCUGUUUUGACGUUACCAACAGAAUAAGCACCGGCUAACUUCGUG